rnacentral:rRNA from 1 species
GACGAACGCUGGCGGCGUGCUUAACACAUGCAAGUCGAGCGGUAAGGGACCCUUCGGGGUCCCCUAGAGCGGCGAACGGGUGAGUAACACGUGGGUAACCUGCCCUAAGGACUGGGACAACUCUCGGAAACGGGAGCUAAUACCGGACGUUCUUGCACCUCGCAAGGGGUGCAAGCAAAGGUAGCUUCGGCUUCUGCCUUAGGAUGGGCCCGCGGCCUAUCAGCUUGUUGGUGAGGUAACGGCUCACCAAGGCGACGACGGGUAGCUGGUCUGAGAGGACGAUCGGCCACACUGGGACGGAGACACGGCCCAGACUCCUACGGGAGGCAGCAGUGGGGAAUCUUGCGCAAUGGGCGAAAGCCUGACGCAGCAACGCCGCGUGAGGGAUGACGGCCUUCGGGUUGUAAACCUCUUUUGUCAGGGAAGAAAUCUUUUGAGCUAAUACCUCGGAAGGAUGACGGUACCUGAAGAAUAAGCACCGGCUAACUAC